GUGCCCGCUUCGGCAGCACAUAUACUAAAACUGGAACGAUACAGAAAAGAUUAGCAUGGCGCCUGUGCAAGGAUGACAUGCAAAUUUGUGGAGCGUUCCAUAUUUUU
rnacentral:snRNA from 1 species